AGUGAACGCUGGCGGUAGGCCUAACACAUGCAAGUCGAACGGCAGCACAGUAAGAGCUUGCUCUUACGGGUGGCGAGUGGCGGACGGGUGAGGAAUACAUCGGAAUCUACUUUUUCGUGGGGGAUAACGUAGGGAAACUUACGCUAAUACCGCAUACGACCUACGGGUGAAAGCAGGGGAUCUUCGGACCUUGCGCGAUUGAAUGAGCCGAUGUCGGAUUAGCUAGUUGGUGGGGUAAAGGCCCACCAAGGCGACGAUCCGUGGCUGGUCUGAGAGGAUGAUCAGCCACACUGGAACUGAGACACGGUCCAGGCUCCUACGGGAGGCAGCAGUGGGGAAUAUUGGACAAUGGGCGCAAGCCUGAUCCAGCCAUACCGCGUGGGUGAAGAAGGCCUUCGGGUUGUAAAGCCCUUUUGUUGGGAAAGAAAAGCAGCAGGUUAAUACCCCGCUGUUCUGACGGUACCCAAAGAAUAAGCACCGGCUAACUUCGUG
rnacentral:rRNA from 1 species